rnacentral:rRNA from 1 species
GACGAACGCUGGCGGCGUGCUUAACACAUGCAAGUCGAACGGAAAGGCCCUGCUUUUGUUGGGUGCUCGAGUGGCGAACGGGUGAGUAACACGUGAGUAACCUGCCCUUGACUUUGGGAUAACUUCAGGAAACUGGGGCUAAUACCGGAUAGGAGCUCCUGCUGCAUGGUGGGGUUUGGAAAGUUUCGGCGGUUGGGGAUGGACUCGCGGCUUAUCAGCUUGUUGGUGGGGUAGUGGCUUACCAAGGCUUUGACGGGUAGCCGGCCUGAGAGGGUGACCGGCCACAUUGGGACUGAGAUACGGACCAGACUCCUACGGGAGGCAGCAGUGGGGAAUAUUGCACAAUGGGCGGAAGCCUGAUGCAGAAACGCCGCGUGCGGGAUGAAGGCCUUCGGGUUGUAAACCGCUUUCGCCUGUGACGAAGCGUGAGUGACGGUAAUGGGUAAAGAAGCACCGGCUAACUACGUG